AGAGUUUGAUCCUGGCUCAGAACGAACGUUAGCGGCGCGCCUAAUACAUGCAAGUCGAACGCGACAGGGGCAACUCUGUUGAGUGGCGCACGGGUGAGUAACACGUAGGUAAUCUCCCCUCGAGUGGUGGAUAACCUUCCGAAAGGAGGGCUAAUACAGCAUAUGACCACGGCCUCGAAAGAGGUUGAGGUAAAAGCGGA
rnacentral:rRNA from 1 species